rnacentral:rRNA from 1 species
GGCCAGACUCCUACGGGAGGCAGCAGUGGGGAAUAUUGCACAAUGGGGGAAACCCUGAUGCAGCGACGCCGCGUGAGUGAAGAAGUAUUUCGGUAUGUAAAGCUCUAUCAGCAGGGAAGAAAAUGACGGUACCUGACUAAGAAGCCCCGGCUAACUACGUGCCAGCAGCCGCGGUAAUACGUAGGGGGCAAGCGUUAUCCGGAUUUACUGGGUGUAAAGGGAGCGUAGACGGCAUGGCAAGUCAGAUGUGAAAGCCCGGGGCUCAACCCCGGGACUGCAUUUGAAACUGUCAGGCUGGAGUGCAGGAGAGGUAAGUGGAAUUCCUAGUGUAGCGGUGAAAUGCGUAGAUAUUAGGAGGAACACCAGUGGCGAAGGCGGCUUACUGGACUGUAACUGACGUUGAGGCUCGAAAGCGUGGGGAGCAAACAGGAUUAGAUACCCUCGUAG